rnacentral:lncRNA from 1 species
AACUCUUCUCAGUAGUUGCUGUCUCCAAAUUUGGUUUAAGUUUUCAGUCUUUUCUUAAGACAGUGUGUGAGUGUAACAGGCAGUGCUGGGCAGUGACCCAGGGUGUUGACUGCUGGCCUGCCCACAACAAGCCUUUGGACUACCUGCCAGGCUAGGCCCAAAGACGAGAAGAGAAGGAAGGAAGAAGAGAGGGGGGAGAAGAAGGGAGGAAAGAAGAAAUCCUAGUCAGUCUCUUGACUCAACCGUCUCCUCUGUCCACUUCCAUACCGAAAUGCUUGCUUCAAUCUUCUGAAAUGUUCUGGUGGCUAUCAUCUACUGACCACCCCUGGAGCAUGGACACUCCCCGGACUGCUCGUUAGGAUCUCUGUGUGCAUUUUGUUUACAAUGGCCUGAAAAGAACUUGGGAUGCUAAGACAAUAAGGAAUCUCAUUGGAUAAAGCAGAAAGCUUUGAAUCCAUUACAGAAGUACCUGCACUCUAUAAUUAUAUUUUAUAA